GCCGCCCGGAAGUGAUGUAAGCCGCGCGACUAGGCGAACGGCGGAGCCGCUGUGCGGGAGUCGCUGGUUCGGUGCGGCCCGGCGGGGCGAGGAGGAGGAAAGCAUCCCGCAGGAGAGAGAGAGAGGCAGAGACACAGGCAGAGGGAGAAGCAGGCUCCAUGCACCGGGAGCCCGACGUGGGAUUCGAUCCCGAGUCUCCAGGAUCGCGCCCUGGGCCAAAGGCAGGCACCAAACCACUGCGCCACCCAGGGAUCCCUCGUGUAUUAUAGUCUAUUAACGGCAUAGUUUUACAUUCUCACGUAGAUCUUUCAUUGAACAUGAGUCCUCCUUUGUAUGUGGCAGUAUGUAGGUAUACAGUUUGGUUUUUCUUGUGAGGAGCCAGCUUUGCCAAUAUUUUGUACUAACUGCGUUCGAUCCCCCUUGAUUUACAUGCUAACUUUAUUUUGUACUACAUUCCACAACUUUGUGUGGCUGCGUUUCUGAGUUUUGUUCUGUACAAUUGGACUAUUUGUCCAAUAUACUAACUCUACCAUAUUUUAAUUUCUGUGACUUUUGUAAUAUGUGUUAAUAUCUUGUAGGCCAAGAAUCCCCUUCAAUCUUCAGUUUAAAUAAUGGGGGUCGCUGCAUGGGGAAUUUUAUUCUCUCCAUAUUGAGAUUGUAUAAAUCAAUUUGGAAAAACUUUUUAUAAUAUUCAUUUGUUCCAUCCAAGAUGUUUAAAUCAUUUUCUAUGUCCUUUAUUAGAAUUUUUUAUUCUUCAUAGAGGUCUUAUAUAUUAUUAAAUAGUUUCUAGAUACUUGAUAGGUUUGAUGUUGUUGGAUUUUUUUUCCUCAUUGUGAAAGAUUUAUAUGUCAUGCUUUUUUUAGUUAGUAUUGUUUGUAUAGAAGUUUUUAACUUAAAAGUACCUGUGUUCAAAUCCACACUCUGUCACUUAGUAGAAAUAUGGCCUUGGGCACGUAGCUUAAAUUUCAUGUGUAAAAUGAGGGCAGUUAAAGUACCUCUCUUGUAGGGUUAUUAGGAGAAUUUUAAAUAAAUUAACAUUGGCAGUUCCUAUAUACUAUAAUGAUAAUUAAUGAAUAUCCAUAGAUUAAUCUCAAAUCAAGAACUUUGUUGAGCUCUUUUAGUAACUCUAAUUGUUUCUUUUAUUUUUUUUUUAAUUUUAUUUAUUUAUUCCUGAGAGACAGAGAGAGAGGGAGGCAGGCUCCAUGUGGGGAGCCUGAUGUGAGACUCGAUCCCAAGACUCGAGGAUCACACCCUGAGCCGAAGGCAGGCGCUAAACCACUGAGCCACCCGGGGGUCCCCUAACUGUUUCAAUGUCAGCUUUCUUAAAUUAGAUUACCGUAUUAUUUGUAAAUAAUAAUGGGGACCUGAUGCAGGACUCGAUCCCAGAUCCCGGGGUCACAACCUGGGCCGAAGGUGGGCACCCAGCGGGCGCCCAACCGCUGAGCCCCCCCAGGCGUCCCUAUAAAUUUCUUUGAGGUUGAGGUGUUCUUCCCUUCCCUUAUCCUGGGGAUAAGCUCUAUAAGCAUAUUCUUUACCUUUUAUUUGAUCUGCUAUUGGAUUUUAUUACGUAAUAUUGGAAAUUUUGCAAGUGAAAUGAGCCUGUACUUUUUUAUUUGGUUCCUCUCUAGGUUUGUAAUUAAUAUUUUAUUAUCAUCAUAAAAGGAGCUUGUCAGCUUAUAUGAUUUUUUUUUUUUCUGGAACAACUUAAAUAGGUAUUAAUUUUCUUGGAAGUUUAGUGGAACUCAUUUAUAAAAUUAUAUGGGCCUGGUGCUUUUAAAAGGAGGUUGGUGCCUUUUCAUUUUCUUUAACACAUACUGGCUUGUUCUAGUCAAGUUAUCUAUUUCCUCCUGUGUGAGUUUUGGUAUUUUAUUCCAGAAUUCAGCCAUUUCAUUUAGGUUUUCACAUUUAGUAUAUAUUUGUCAUAUUUUUUAUUUUUAAACACUUUUUGUGUUUUUAAGUCACUUGAUGAGUUUCACUAGUCACUUUUUCUUAUAUCUUCAAAAAAAUUUUCAGUCUUCUGUUAUUCUCAUAUGUAUGCUAUUUCAUUUCUGCUUUUAUUUCCUUUCUGCUUAUUUUGCUAUUGCUCUUUUCCAUUAUUUUUUUUAAGAUUUUAUUCAUUUGUCCACGAGAGAUACACAGAGAGAGAGGCAGAGACACAGACAGAGGGAGAAGCAGGCUCCCUGCAGGGAUCCCAAUGAGGGACUCGAUCCCGGGACUCCGGGGUCACGACCUGAGCCAAAGGCAGAUGCUCAACCACUGAGCCACCCAGGCGUCCUCUUUUCCGUUAUUUUGAAUUGAAUGCUUAACUUGUAGAUACUUAAAUUUCCUCAUCGGUGUAUUCAGAGCUGUAACUUCCUUUAAGUACUAGUUUGGCCGCCUCCCACAAAUUUUGCCUUGUAUAGUUUAUAUUAUUCGGUUUUAGUAUUUAAUAUCCUUUUCAAUUUCCAUUUUAACCCAUGAGUUAAUUAGCUUCCCAACAUAGAGUUGCUUUUAAAUAACCUUUAAUACCUACUUUUAUUGCAUUUUGGUCAGAGAAUUUCGUCUGAAUGAAAUAGACCCUUUGGAAUCUAUAACCUAAUACGUGAUCUAUUUCUUGUGCGUGUAUGUGUACUCUCAGAUGUCUAACCUGUUUGGCAUAGAGUCCUGACAACUGAUGUAAUACAUAAAGUACAUUAAUAUUUUGACUGUUUUUCAGGCUUCUUAUAUCCCCUGCUUAUAUAGUUCUGUCAGUUGUUACCUGAAAAUUUUUGAGAUUGUGCUUUCAGGGUCAUACAUGUAUAUGAUGAGUACUAUAAUUUUAUUCUGUUCCUUUCACUGGUGUAAUUGUCCAUCUUUGUCCCUUAUAUUUUAUGGCUUGAAAUCUUUUUUGUUGGGUAUUAAGAUUGCUAUCUCAGCUUUAUCUUGGUCCACAGUUGCCUAUUACAUCUUUUUUCAUUCUUUUAUUUUUUUUUUACCUUUUUCUUUUUUUUUUGAAGUAUCUUCUGUUGCAUUAUUAUUGAAUCUUGUUUUUUUUAAUCCAGUCUGUCUGUUUUUUAACUGUGAGUUUAACCUGUUUACAUUCAUUGUAGUUUCUACUAUAUUAAGAAUUACACCUGGAAAAAAAAAAGAUUUAUACCUGCCAUUUUCUCUCGUAUCUAUAGAUUAUGGUUAUAAUGACCACAGCCUUUGGGUCCCAGCAAGAGCCCUAACGUCUAGCAGCUCUACAGCCAGGACAGGUCCCCUAAACUAAUCCCAACAAGCACAUCUAAAGGGAAAGAACUACCUCUUAUAGCUCUCUAUCUGGAGUUUGGGUCAUCAAGGAACUGCUUUUGAAGAAGUAAUUUUCUGGGCUAGAACAGUAUACUAAAGAAUAAACUGACCCAGCUAUGUACCAAGAAGAGAUGAAAAUGACCUCAGGCUCUGCUUCCCAGGAGUCAUUCCCAAUAGAAAAUUCUGCCUGAGUCUAUGAAAUAGAGAUGGGAAAGCCCAGUAAGGGUUCUUAUUUAGCAUCCGUGUUCUUAGAUACUCAAUAAAGUUAGAUGGACAGUAAUGUUACUCAUUGCUUUCAGACUUUAAUAUCAUUUCUCUAGUCUUCUCAUUCACAGGUUAAAGCUACCUUUCCAGAUAGUUCAACAACUAAGUCACCAGUUUCCAAGGGCAUUUGCACCAUCCAUGGAAAGCAUCGGAUCUGUGUACACCAGAUGUCCUUGACAACUCAUCCCGCCGUCUCCCUGCACAAAAUUUGCACCACCAGUGGACAACAAAGGCAACCAUUGUUUCUUUUCUUUACCAAGUAGAUAUAAUAUCUCUACCAACAAAACAAUACACAAAGUGUCUCUUCCCAGUAUCAAGACCAGUUGAGACCACUAAGAAAAUCAGCUUUCCUAGAUGAGGACCCCUUCUCUUCUUGGGUAGCCAGGAUUUGAAGGAGAGACUCUGACCUGUACAACUGGUCACUCAUCCCACUUUGCAGCCGAAGCUGGGAGGCUUAUCCUCUGGACAGAUCAAACCGAGCAGAUUAGAACCCGGCCUCGGGGAGAGCAGUGGUGGUGUGAGGUGCUCCACUGAAAACCGGGGAUUGAGAGAAUGUCGGCAUUGUGAUCACGCGCCCUCCAGCCUCCUCCAGGCCGCCUCAGAAUCUGGCAGCUGGGCUCAGGCCCAGCCCUGCCCACCUCACCCAGAGAGAGGAGCAAUUCUACAAACAACGUGCCACCUGAUGAUCUGUUACAAUGAAACCCGGAGUCACAAGGCCUGCCCACUCCUAUGUGGCUCUGAGUCUCGUGAUCAUGAUAAACUGAUAGCCAAGGGUCAAUACAUAUUUGAGGGUAACUUCAAGAAUGAGAUAUGGAGACUAAAACAACUAAAAUAACCUAAAACAAACAAACCCAAAACCUGGAAAUAACGCAAGGGCCAUAGAACUCCCCAGAGAAGCUAUGAUACUCUCAGACACAGGAGAAUAUACUGCAUCCGUGAAGUAAGAACAGGAUGCUGGGGAAAAAAUGAACAAUCAGAAAAUACAAAUAUUGGAAAAAUACGGCUUGAAUUAAGCAUUCAGUAGGUGUAUUGGAAGAUAAGGUGAAGAAAUUUCAGAAAGUAGAACAAAAAGACGGAGGUGGAAAAUAGAGAAGGAAAAAAAAAAUCAGAAGAUCAGAACGGCACGCAACAUCUGAUUAGUAAGAGCUCCAAAAUGAGACGAGAGAAGGGGGGUGAAAAGAGAACAAAAUUAAAGAACAUUUCUCCAAAAUGUAGGAUACGGGUCACGUAAAUUAAGAGGAUCCACCAAGUGCCCGGCACAAUGAAUCAAACACACAGAAGCAUACCCUGAGACUUCAGGACGCCGAGAAUAAAGACCCUAAUCGCUUCCAAAGGGGAUGAAACAAGAGUCACAUGAAAGGAGGCCGCUGGAGAAUGUGCUUCAC